rnacentral:rRNA from 1 species
CACGUAGGGCGCGAGCGUUGUCCGGAAUUAUUGGGCGUAAAGAGCUCGUAGGCGGCCUGUUGCGUCCGCUGUGAAAGCCCGGGGCUUAACCCCGGGUCGGCAGUGGAUACGGGCAGGCUGGAGGCAGGCAGGGGAGAACGGAAUUCCCGGUGUAGCGGUGAAAUGCGCAGAUAUCGGGAGGAACACCGGUGGCGAAGGCGGUUCUCUGGGCCUGUACUGACGCUGAGGAGCGAAAGCGUGGGGAGCGAACAGG